rnacentral:rRNA from 1 species
ACCUGGUUGAUCCUGCCAGUAGCAUAUGCUUGUCUCAAAGAUUAAGCCAUGCAUGUCUAAGUAUAAAUAGUAUACAGUGAAACUGCGAAUGGCUCAUUAAAACAGUUAUAGUUUAUUUGAUAAUGGAAGCCUACAUGGAUAACCGUAGUAAUUCUAGAGCUAAUACAUGCGUCCAAACCUGACUGAAUUGAAAGGUUGUAUUUAUUAGAUACGAAGCCAAUAUUCCUUCGGGAUUAUUGUGGUGAGUCAUAGUAACUGAUCGAAUCUCCCAAUGGAGAUAAAUCAUUCAAGUUUCUGCUCUAUCAGCUUUCGAUGGUAGUGUAUUGGACUACCAUGGCAGUCACGGGUAACGGAGAAUUAGGGUUCGAUUCCGGAGAGGGAGCCUGAGAAACGGCUACCACAUCUAAGGAAGGCAGCAGGCGCGUAAAUUACCCAAUCCUGACUCAGGGAGGUAGUGACAAGAAAUAACAACCCGGGGAAUUCACAUUCUUACGGGAUUGCAAUGAGAACAAUUUAAAUCACUUAACGAGGAUCAAUUGGAGGGCAAGUCUGGUGCCAGCAGCCGCGGUAAUUCCAGCUCCAAUAGUGUAUAUUAAAGUUGUUGCAGUUAAAAAGCUCGUAGUUGAACUUCUGGCGGCGCGCAGUUUUGGAUUUAUUCAGGCUGCGUUGGCGUCAUCCGUCUGCAAACUCCGUACAACCUUUAGUGGCUUGGCGGGGGGAGUAGACAUUUUACUUUGAAAAAAUUAGAGUGUUUCAAGCAGGUUAUUGCCAGAAUACUUUAGCAUGGAAUAAUGGAAUAGGACUCUUGUCCAUUUGGUUGGUUAUUGGACCAGAGUAAUGAUUAACAGGGACAGUUGGGGGCAUUAGUAUUUAAUUGUCAGAGGUGAAAUUCAUGGAUUUAUUAAAGACUAACUUAUGCGAAAGCAUUUGCCAAGGAUGUUUUCAUUAAUCAAGAACGAAAGUUAGGGGAUCAAAGACGAUCAGAUACCGUCCUAGUCUUAACUAUAAACGAUGUCGACUCGGGAUUGGAAAGGUAUUUGUAUCCUUUCCAGCACCGUAUGAGAAAUCAUUAAGUCUUUGGAUUCUGGGGGGAGUAUGGUCGCAAGGCUGAAACUUAAAGGAAUUGACGGAAGAGCACCACCAGGCGUGGGACCUGCGGCUUAAUUUGACUCAACACGGGAAAACUUAUUUCAGCAAAACAUGAGUGGGAUUGACAGAUUGAGAGCUCUUUCUUGAUUUUAUGGGGUGUGGUGCAUGGCCGUUCUUAGUUGGUGGAGUGAUUUGUCUGGUUAAUUCCGUUAACGAACGAGACCUUAACCUGCUAACUAGUCAGCGCGUUAAACUACGCGUUGUACUUCUUAGAGGGACUAUGGGUAAUAGGCCCAUGGAAGUUUGAGGCAAUAACAGGUCUGUGAUGCCCAUAGAUGUUGAAAGCGGCACGCGCGUCAUACUGUCCAGUAACAGCAAGUUUAUUCCUCUACCGGCAGGUUAGGGGUAAUCUAUAAAACUGGACGAGGUAGGGAUAGAUCUUUGGAAUUAUAGAUCUUGAACGAAGAAUGCCUAGUAAGUACAAGUCAUCAACUUGUGCUGAUUACGUCCCUGUCCUUUGUACACACCGCCCGUCGCUCCUACCGAUUUCGAGCGAUAUGGUGAAUCUCCUGGACCGUGGAGCUCCUCCGUGGGCUUCGUGGAAAGUUUAGUAAACCUUAUCGCUUAGAGGAAGGAAAAGUCGUAACAAGGUAUUCGUAGGUGAACCUGCAGAAGGAUCA